AAGAGCUUGUCUCACAGAAAACCAUGCAAAAUUUGAAAAAUCGUCCAGGAGGGUGGUUAAAACUUUUCCAGCUAAUGAAGUUUUUUGAUAUCUUAGGUUCAAUGGAAACCAGAAAAUAUGUUUUAGACUUCUCUGAAUUGUGUCUAUUUUUAGUAACAAGCUAAUUUGCAUAAUUGAAUAAAAUUAGCUAAAAAAAACCUUCAAAUAUAUGUUUAGUUGAAAGUACUUUAAAAGUCAUCAAAUUAGUUCUAUUGGGUUUCUAGUCAUUUAUAUUGUGGAAAUAGAUAUGAAAGAUCAUAAAUUAUGCAUUUAUAAAGCAUUUUCUAUUUUUUGGCACACUGAAAGGGUGCUCUCUUUAAUGCCUUAUUUUGUAUAUGUCAUUUACUAGCCAAGUUCAAGUCACUGGUUUUCGAAAAGGUGAGCACAUAAAUACAUGAAAUAAAUUUCUUUACACACCUUUUUAUUGGAUUAAAAAAAUAUAAAAAAUCCACCCAUGGCAAAUUAGUAGAAAUAGCCUUAUUUUUAACUCUAAAAACCCACCUCAAGCCUUUUCCCACAUUUUUUACUAAACUAGUUUUGGGUAUAUAUCAAACAAAAUAUGAUGUUAUUAUCAUUUUACAUGUUCAAUUUUGAACAUUUCAAAGAUUUUAUUCAGAUAAGAUACUUUGCAAAUGUAUAACAUCUGAAUAAAUAAGAUAUUGUAACUUUCAUUAAAUAAUUGUUAUCAAGAGUUAUCUCCCUGUAAAUUGUUCUCCAUAAGACUAUAAAGAAGGUAACUGCUCAUAUGCAGACCUCCCUGACACUAGCAACUAACUUACUAAGCCUUUUUGUGUUAGUAGGACCUUACCUAAGCUCUUUGAGUGGCAUAAAGAUACAUCACACUUUGUAUUGAUGUCAAUAUUGCAAUAUGAAGAGAAAAUUCUUGAGUAUUCUCACAUUUUGUCAGCUCAGUGCUUCUGCACGAAAAUGUCCUGUCACUGAGUGUCAGAUAUAAUAGAAACGUAGAGCUGACACAGAGAGAUUAUGUUGAGGUGAAGAGAAGAAGGAAUUUAGUUUGCUGUUGCUAUUAUGACCACAACGAACGUCAAGUUAAAAGCAGGUCUUGGACUUCCGUACAGAAAACUGAACAGACACAUACAGCAUGUAAACUACAGCAGGUCGUCCAGGCUAUUCAGUGAGCACAUACUUCCGAAGCUAUUCAUUGCUAGAGCAGUAUAACUGAUAUGUACAAUGUACAAGAAAACAAGCCGCCUAUGAAUGAAAUUUCAACAGUCAAAGCUACUUACCGUUUAGCAUGAUGCACAUGUUAAUUUUUUUCUGUGCAUGUCCUGAUCUGCAUAAAUCAUGAUAGAAGUUGUGGAGAAAUUUCAUACUUGAAAAAACAUGUACAAAAUGUUUCAAAAGGAUAGAAAUUAUAGUACAUGUUUAAUAGGAUAGGACAAGACUGAAUUUCCAGGCUUCAAAGUGCAAAUAUUCAUGUGUGGAUAUGGUGGAUAUAUUGAACUUAGCAGUUAUGUAGGAUACUGAAUAAAAUGUCAGCAGAUAUUCAGAAAAUGGAGUUGGAAAGGCUACAUAGCAGUAAGAGAAAAGUAUUAAGAUUCACACUGCAAGUCCAAAACUACUUAUACAUGUAUCUGUGAAGCUGGUGUAGAACUGGAAAAAUUCCAUAUUUUAUGUAAUCAUGGUAUUUAGUCAUAAUCAUGAUAAUCAUGAUUAUAAUGAAGCUCCAAAUUACAUAAACUGCAAUAGUUGCCCAAGUUGGAUAAUUUGUUAAAAAGGAAACCGAUUAACAACUUAAAAAACUAAAAGAAUCAAUGCAUACUUUCUGUACGAAAAAUCAGAGACCUCAACCACCUACAGUUAGUUUCUGAAAAUGAAAGUGAAUAAGUGACGAUAGAGAGAACCUACCCAAAAUAAGAAUUAUGCUAGUCAUGAUAGAUAUUAGAUGUGUUGAUCUUGUUUUUGUGAAUAUACAAUGAGAAUUAUAAGCCAGAAUGGAAGUGACAAUUCAUAGAAUAGUACAAAGACAAAGAUAUUGCUACUUUUGCUGUAAAUUGAAAGUUGAUCAGUUUUUGCCAAGUCAGCUGGUAUCAAUGAUUUUAUGAACUAUAAAUUCUAUAAUCAUGAUAAUGAUUAAUCAUUUGAAUGUCAUUAUGGGCUAUUAAAAAGAAAUGUAAAGGA